AGUGAGAGAGAAAACAACAUGAUGGAAAGUAAGGAAGCUGUGGAAAAGAGAAAAACAACUAAUGAAUCAUGAGGAGAGGCUUUGAGAAAUCAGCCAUGCCAUAACUGAAACAAUAGUAGAAUAAUUGGGGUCCCAAAGGAAGAAGAAGGGGAGAGAGAGAGAGAGAGAGAGAGAGAAGGUAUAUUUUAGCGAAUCAUAGAUGAGAACUUCCCUAAACUAGGGAAGGAAAUAGGCAUUCAAGUCCAGGAGAC